rnacentral:lncRNA from 1 species
GCCUUGUGUCAUGAGGUUCCCUUGAUGGUGCCAUUAUCCCUGAGGAAGCUCUCGGACAGCUGAAUGAUUCACUGGAACUAGAGGAGCCAAUACACAGGAGAAGCUGCAAAACGGGAACCAGAGAAUAAUGUUGCUAGUGGCUGUAAGUGAGCUCUGCACCCCAAUGAGGAGCCGCAAAAGGCCAGGUUGGAGCCAAGGUUACAUCAGCGAACCUGCUGAUUCACAGCCCAGAUCAGAAACGGCUGAUCUCCCUCCCUCAGGAGGCAGCAUGGAAGGAGAUGGGAGAAGCAGCUUUGGCUUGAAAGUAAACAAAAUACCGUCUUACUCAGGCAUCUAUUAUUUAUGGUUUGAUAAAAUGGAAUUUGUGGCCAUAAGACCCUGUUUAAAAAAAAAUGCAUCUGGUUGGCUGUCAUCACCAUCAUUAUUUGGAGUACCCGUGGCAGAGAUAGUGCUGUGUUUACCACUCCCUUCUCUCUUCCUAUAGUUGGAAGCUGGGAACUCUGAGACAGCGGAGGUGCAAGAUGGAAGCAGAGUUAUCUACCGUGAAGGAGAGCCUCCCUGUCUGUACCAGACUGUGAUGUGAAGGAGCAAUAAACUUUUGUUGUGGUAAGCCA